CUGAUCCAACCGAACCCACGAGCACCCAUACAAUCUAAAAGCCCUCAACCCCACCUCACGGCUGUGCCACCGUCGUUUGCGCAGAUCGACCGCGGGAGCCACCUAGCCGUGCGUGCGGACGACAAACGGCGAUGCAUCCGGUGGCUGCGCGUGGCGCCCCGCACUGGCUGCGCGGCCUGCUAUCGGAGGAGUUCUUCGACGCAUGCGCCGCGCACCCGGGGGAGCGCAAGAACGACAAGAACCACUUCUGCGUCGACUGCGCCGCGCCGCUGUGCCGCCACUGCCUCCCGCACGAACACGUCCACGACGUCCUCCAGAUCUGGAAGUACGCGUCCUGCUUCGUCGUGCGCAUCGACGACCUGAAGCUGUUCGACUGCACCGGCAUCCAGUCGCACACGGUGAGCGACCAUGAGGUGGUGUUCCUGAACGAGCGUACGGCGAGGAAGCGGUCCACGAGCGCCGAGAACCCCUGCGCCGCGUGCGCGCGACCGCUCCUCCCCGGCCACGACUACUGUUCACUCUUCUGCAAGGUAAAACGCAUCGGGUACGGUCAACAGGAUCGUAUGCUGUUGAUCCUGACCAGUGUGAAGCAUCUGGGGGAGAGCGAGCACGAGCUAAGGCGCGCGCUACGCGUGAGCCGGCAGGAGGUGGCUCCCACGCCGGAGCCACAGACCGGGAGGAAGAGAUCGUCGUCGUCGUCAGACGCGGGGCCGAGCUGCAGCGGAUCGUUCCGGAAGCGAAGCCGGAAGCAGGCCGAGCCGGCACAGGCACCAUUCCAUUGA